rnacentral:rRNA from 1 species
CAAUAGCGUAUAUUAAAGUUGUUGCAGUUAAAAAGCUCGUAGUUGGAUUUCUGGUGGGAGCGAUCGGUCUGGCGCUUAGCGCGAGUACUUGCAUCGUCUCCGGCCAUCCUUGGGGAGAGUCUGUCUGGCAUUAGGUUGUCGGGCAGAGGAUCCUCAUCGUUUACUGUGAAAAAAUUAGAGUGUUCAAAGCAGGCUUAUGCCGUUGAAUAUAUUAGCGUGGAAUAAUAAGAUAGGACUUUGGUACUAUUUUGUUGGUUUGCGCACCAAAGUAAUGAUUAAUAGGGACAGUUGGGGGUAUUCGUAUUCCGUUGUCAGAGGUGAAAUUCUUGGAUUUACGGAAGACGAACUACUGCGAAAGCAUUUACCAAGGAUGUUUUCAUUAA